rnacentral:tRNA from 2 species
GCUGUACUGGUGGGCGGACACCACGCACCUGGGCUGGGUGCUGAUCGCGCUGAAGAUCCCGCCGUUCCUGCUGGCGGUCUGGCU